AGUGAACGCUGGCGGCAGGCCUAAUACAUGCAAGUCGAACGGCAGCACGGGGGCAACCCUGGUGGCGAGUGGCGGACGGGUGAGUAAAGCAUCGGAACGUACCCUGGAGUGGGGGAUAACGUAGCGAAAGUUACGCUAAUACCGCAUAUUCUGUGAGCAGGAAAGCAGGGGAUCGCAAGACCUUGCGCUCUGGGAGCGGCCGAUGUCGGAUUAGCUAGUUGGUGGGGUAAAGGCCUACCAAGGCGACGAUCCGUAGCGGGUCUGAGAGGAUGAUCCGCCACACUGGGACUGAGACACGGCCCAGACUCCUACGGAGGCAGCAGUGGGGAAUUUUGGACAAUGGGCGGAAGCCUGAUCCAGCCAUGCCGCGUGAGUGAAGAAGGCC
rnacentral:rRNA from 1 species